AACCUUAUGGACCUGCGGGCGUAUACCUGCGGAAGGAUCAUUACAGAGUUCAUGCCCUCACGGGUAGAUCUCCCACCCUUGCGUAUUUAUACCUUUGUUGCUUUGGCAGGCCGCCUGGGCUCGCGCCUGGCCACCGGCUCCCGGGCUGGUGCGUGCCUGCCAGAGGAUCUCCAAACUCUAGUUAUCAGUGUUGUCUGAGUACUAUACAAUAGUUAAAACUUUUAACAAUGGAUCUCAGAU
rnacentral:misc_RNA from 1 species